GUGCAGGGGAAACCCGAGCUGCUGUCAGCGAGAAGGCAGGAGGCUGAGGUCCCUCUGAUGACGCCACGAAUCUGGGAAUGAAGAACUUCUUCAAGCUGAUUGGAAAUGGCAUUGCGGAGCUGAAACUUAACUGGAGGAAAUAUAUCUCCCGAAGAAGGAAAUAUAAUGCACUUUAAAGAUCUGACUUCUGGUGAAAAAUUCAAGCCUAGAGAAAACUUGUCCGCGUUGUUCGGAAGAAUGGGUUGGACAAUUUUCUUCAGUUCCACAGGAUAUCUGAGUGCCAUGCUGAGCUUGAUCUCUGCAGCAUGCUCUGUGCUUCUCAUCUCUUCCUGAUGCACUGCAUGGUCAGCUCUUUAAUUGCAAGCUCCCUGAAGGGCCAUCUUCAGCACUACCCAUUGCAUAGCCCUAUAUUGCUG
rnacentral:lncRNA from 1 species